rnacentral:lncRNA from 1 species
UGCCAUUAGCAGGUACCCGGCCGAAUCCAGUGGAAGUCGAGCACUCAUCCGAAGACAACCGGGCGGAAAGAGUUGAAGAGGACGGUUGGCAGCAAGAAAUUGUGCAGGAAGUUUGGGAGACAUUUCCAACCGGAACAUUUUGGCGCCCACCGUGGGGCCGGAGGAUUAUAACCAAUGGUGACCACAAGAAACGCUAGUACCGAGGAACAGACAG